UAUAUAAAUCAUCAUUUCUGU
rnacentral:piRNA from 1 species